AUGACCCACGUGCCCAAAAUGGGGAUUCAGCUCUUUUUUUCGAGAUAUAUAUUCUGGAUUAACCCACCUUGGAAAUCACAGUACCUACCAAGAAGCCAAAAGAGCUUCAACCCUUCACGUUUCACACUUGGAGGAUUAUGUACAUUCGCGGUGUAUAUCCCGAAUUACCUACCAAGACUCCAAAAGAGCUUAAGUGCUUCAACCCUUCACGCCUUGCGCCUGAAAAACUAUGUACAUAAAUGUUUAGCCGGACAGGUACCUCCAAAAGAGUCUCGGACUUGUACCUCCAAAAAGUCUCAAGAAUGA